AGUAUAGUAAUAAUCUUCUUUAGCUGGAUUUUAAAGUAUUCAUAUAAUCUUGUGAUUUUUUUUUUUUUUAAAUCAUCCGUUGUAGCCAGAUUAUAGCAGAAUUUCUGCUAAAAUCUCUGUAUUUGCUGUUGAACUUAUUUCAGCCAGCUAUACUUUGUUUAUCCCUGUAAUUGCAGUCUUCCUCCAAUGACCUCAUUAUUUUCUAGCUUUUUCCUUGUGAUAGUUUUACUGUUCUCUUGAAUUUCUGAAAUAUUACUGACUGCUGUUUGUCUGAGGAGAUUUGUGCAGGAUAUCAUGUUGUCAUAGUUGUCACAAAGGAUUACUAAAGGAUAAAUCCAUUUGUGUUGUUGGUAUUUUAUGUGUUUUAAACUAUAGACUUAGAUUCAACAUCUGCUAGCUUGACAGUACGUCUGUGCCAUACUUGUUUUGAAGCUACUGACUCUGGUAGCUAGUACUCAAGGGAGAAGCAAUUGAAGCUUUUCACUUCAUUUUUGCUGUAAAUUAUUUUGGCCAGGUUAGUGAGUAUGACUGAAUACUGUCUUCUUUCUUUUUCAUAUCUGCUGAGAUGUGUAUUUAGCAAAAGUUUUGUUUGUGGAGGUAUUUGCAGAGACAGUGCUUUCUAUAUGUUAGUUAUAUAGCCAUCCUUCUCAGAAGUCUGUAGCGUUAGGGGGAGGAUAUGUGGAAAUUGACUAAAAGAAAAAUAAGCUGAAUUUUUUUUACAGACCAUAAAGGUUUUGUUCUGUUCUAAAUCUCUUCCUUACAUAUGACUAUGUUUUUCCAUUUUAAAAAAUGAAAUUCAGGCUGUUUUAUCCUUUAAAGUGCAUUUGACGAUGAGGACUAUGCAUGAUUCAGAGCUCUGAAAAUUUCAGCAAUGCCAUUUGAAGGUUAUCCUUGCCUUCCAUUUUUGUAUUAUCACAUCAGUUGGUUUGUAUGCAAACAAUACUGACAUGACUGUUUGGACAGGGUCUCCAGAGUUAUUGUCCAUCACUAAUUUGAGGUUUUUGCAGUAAUGACUGAGACUUCAAAUUUUGGAGAGGAUGCUGCAAAAUGGUUCUUCUGCUGCAGUGCUGGUGAUGUAAUGUUGUGGAAACAUAUGCUUACCUUGUGCCCCCAUUCCUCUGCUUUCAGGAAUGCCUACCUCUUCAGAGUGUGAAUAGGAGAAAUAAAUAGCUUGUGUCCAGCAGUGGUUGAUUUUCUGCAUUCUGUUUUGGGUUCUUAAAUAAUCUAAGUUCUCUUCCAGGAAAGACCUCUAUUGAUAGAAAUAUUUGCAUUUUAUGCUGUUGGAUAUCUUUGAGAGGGAAUUACUUUUCUAGCCACUAGUUCUAGACUAGCAGCUAGUGUAGGAAGAGCUGAUGUGGCACAGUCAGAAAUGAAAAUGAACUUGAAAAUUUUGUAUUUACAUUUGUCAAUGAGACAUCUGCUACACCAGUCUGAUUUCCCUUUGCAGGUAGUUUUUCCCCCUGAGGCAUGCUCAGUGAACAAGGUGCUAUUUACCACUCUUACAGUGCUAGACAGAACAGCUACAGCAGCAAUUGGAGAAGAUCUAGAAUUUGAAAAUGAAGAGAAGGGAAAUCCAACUUGGUAACAAAUGCAUGAAGUACUUGGAAAAGGUACUGCAUCACAGCAGUCUUUUAUGGACAAAUAAAUUUUUAUCAAAGUUCAAGCAGUGGUUUCACAUGCAAAUUCUAAGCUCUAAUUAGAUGUAAGAAGACAACUAGUAAUGGUCUGGUUACAUAAAUUAUUUCAAUAAUGAGUGCUGCUGUGAAAAUAAUACCUCCUAUUCUAUCAUGCUGGCCCAUGACAUUAGAGGUGGAUAUUGGUGGUAUGACAGUAGAGGCUUCCCACCUGUAUUCUGUUACAUUUUGUUGCAGUGUGACAGAUGGCAGCAGAGUGACAGUCUAACAAAAUGGCUACCGAUAUGGAAGCGCAUAUGAAGCAAAUGUAUGGAAUUGAAUUCCUCCAUGCAGAAAAAAUGGUCCCCGUUGGUAUUCAUCAAAGCUUGCCGAACAUUUUUGGAGACCAAACAGAGAAUAUGAGCACACUGAAAGAUUUAUGCAGUCUGAGACAACGAUACAAAUGGCUACUCUGAGAUUCUGCAGUGUAUACAUUGGAUGCACAGUCUGGUGAAUUUUGCACAUCUUGAAGCCCACCAAGAAAAUGGAUUAAAUUACUGUGGCUUCUUCGGUAUAUGAUAUUUCAAUAAUAAUAUUGAUUGAUAUGUGAAACUGUGAAUCCAAACAAAUGGACAGUCCAGUGGUCCAUAACUAAACAGAGUACUACAGAGGGAGAAAACUGAACCAGACUGGCAAGAGAAGCUUAUGGAAAGUGGUGCAGAUGGAUUUCCUCAAGAUUAAAUGAGACAACCAAUAAUGUAGUCCGUUGCCACCAGGACAACUUGCAGUUUUCUUCUUUCUGAAAACUGCUCUGAGUAAAAGGAAAAGCUGAAAGGCAAUUCUGGUUUGCUAACACUUUGCAUGACUCCAAGUGAAAUCAUAUAAUCUGAUUUAUUUAUCUAUUUAUUUAUUUAUUUUUGUAUUGCAUGUAGUAGGUUGUGACUUGCAGGUGUGUGAAAUUCUGUGCAUGUAAACAGUUCAGUUUUGUGAUUUUUUUUUUUAAACCUAGUUUAGUAGCUUUAGUUCUGUGAAUACUCUGACAUUUUAUGAGACAUAGAUUGAGUUGGAAAGGGAAGGAGAGGAUCAUAAUGAAAGAUAUCACUGGGAGUCAGCAGGAGUCUGUAAAAUUCAUCUUGGGACUCUCCUGAUCAUCUUGCUUGGAGUUACACUUUGUACUUGACUUGGUGCUUUGCUUUCAGGGAUCUGCAACUAUAAAUUAUGGAACUCCUUGCAUACGGGCAGUGUAGAAGUUGUGUUAAAAACACCCUUUAACUUAUAACUGUGUUUUCUUCAGUAGACCUGCCGACAAUCCCAGGCUGCUGAGUUGGAAGAAGAAAAGCAAAAAUAGGCACUUACAAAUAACCAGUUAACAUUUUCCCACAGAAAGGAAUUUAAGUAUGCCACUUGAGGCUAAGGGAAGUUGGUACUUCUUAUAGAAGAAACCUUAGACAGUAUGAUAAACCCUUACUUUGCUACCUAUUAUGAUGUUCAGUAUUUCAGUGCAGUCAAAAAAUUAUGUUGAGGAGAACUCUUCAUUAAGGAAACCUACUGAGAAAACAGAUGUUAUCUGAAGUCUAGAAUGGACAAGUGUACAAUGUACCUUAUUCUGAAUAUGAUUGUCAGUUUAAAGUAGGAUUGAUUGAAGGGUCUCUUCCUAUACUCUAUUCAGUCCUAAGCCUGUACUUCAUGACUGCCUUCCAAAAUGCUUACUUCUUGUCUUUUCUUUCAGAUGUAGUUACAGGAAUCUGCCUUACUGUGAAAUUCAUGUUGAUUAUUUCUUUGUCUAUGAUAUUUUCUCCCCAGUAGUAGCUAGCAGAGUCUCCCCAGCAUGUCUCAGUGUUCUCUAAUUCAUUCACACAAAUAAUGUAAGCAGGGCAGCAACUUGAUUGAGAUUAGACUCCAUGACUAAAUGUUUCAAUUGAAUUCAUACUGACAUUGACUGCAAGAGUUAUUUUUCUGCCCUGCAGAAGAGUUGACCUUUGUGUGCCAUCUGAUUUUCCAUUCAGACUGCAAUAUAGUGCCAGAAGCUUUCCUAUUUCUGUUAAUAUCAAAUGUGCAUAAUAUCCAUUUUUGGUCUUCAACUCAGCUACUGCCUGGAGGUUGCAGCAGCUAAAAUUGUGUAGAAGUGUUAAUUUUGCCAAACUUCACAGAAUAUUCUCCUGGGCAAUAUUUUAUUAUUGUUAUUACUAUUAUUUUUAACUUUUAGGUAUAAUUUAAAUAAAUAAAAAUUUAGGUUUAUCUUCCAAGAGCCCAAGAUCUAUUAAUGUCAAGCUUAAUACUAGAGCUAAAGAAUAUUAUGCCACUGGUCAUGAGCGUGCCCUAAAAUCCAACAGAAUUUGGUGGUGCUUGUUUGUUUUAAAGGAAAAGAAAAGCAGUAAGUGCUGCUUUUUGAAUCCUACAUGGUUUGUUGGGAAAAUUCUUAAAACAUUUUUCUCCUGGACAUAGAUAUCUGACUUGAAGUUUUGAAAAAAUACUCCUUUUCAUUACAUGUAAAAUUCAGUGUGUCAAAUUGCUGUUCUUCCCCACCAGUUCUGCUAACAAUUAGAAUUCUUUUGUAGACCCUACCAUUAGCAGAGAUAAUUUUGGCAUUUCUUCUUCUCUUUUUAGCAAAAACUGCAAAUAUUUUGUUUACCUAGGACCACCAAUUGCUGAUGUGUUCUGCUUUGCUUGUUAUCCUUUUUGCAGUAUUCCUUUGAUUUUCCUUUAAUGAAUAUGCUAUAUAAAUGCAUACUGUACUGUUAGAAGAGUUGAUUCAAGGUUUGUAUGGAAAAUACUGUCAUGAGGAAGGAUGAAUUCUUCAUUUAUUGUUGGCCUUUAUUGCACUGCAGUACUUUGUCUAUAGUUUUCAGGGUAGGGCAACUAUUUUCUGUAUAUCCAAAGCAGGUUGUGCUCGUCAACAAUGGUUUCUCUAGAUGGUGUCUGAUGGCCAUGUAGAAUGAAGGACAUGAGAGUGAAGCCUUCACAGGUGCAGCAGCAUUUCUUUUGGAGGAGAGUAGCACUAGGCUGUGACCUCCUGCCUUCUAUUAGAUAUAAAACAUAAGUAGGUAUAUGUUCCUCUUCUCCUCAAAACCACAUAGUUUUACACAGUUCCCCUCCUUUUCUGUAGUUUAACUGUAUUUUUUGUCUCUUGGAUGAAGUAAUAUUAAGGACCUCUGGGAGUUUGAUACCCCUUUGUCUGAUCCUCAGCAUAGCAGUGCUUGAGUACUCAGCAGGUUUUCUCCUAUAAGUUAUAGAGGAAGAAAUACUCAAGACUGCAGGAAGUCAUAUUUACAAAAAGACAAGAUAAAUGAAGGAAUGCAAAUGUUAGGACAGACAUUCACUAGAUCUGAACUGUGUCAGUACUGAGAAUAAGAUGCAAAUUUCACUUCAAACUUGUGUCAGUACUGAGAAUAAGAUGCAAGGGAAGACAUCCAGGGAAAGGGAGAGGAAAAGGGAUGCUUCUCUCUGAGAUGAGGGGAGAAAGAAGUGAUGGUUAAGUUGCAGAUAUUAGCCCUUUCUUCUUUGCAGUGAAAUAGCAUUUCUUGUUUUAAACUGUUGCCUUCAACGCUAUUGAAUCCUCUGCAGUCAAUUGUUCCUCUGCAGUCAUGGGAGACAUUGACCUGUGUUUUUUCUCACACACCUCACUUCAGUUAGCUGUUGGCAGUACCUCCAUUUCCAAAGUUGUUUGACAAAUCUAUGGUCUUAAAAGAAAGUCAGAGUCAAAUGGUGAAGAGGCAAUAUUAUAUUAUAAUUGAUAGUUUGUGGAUUGAGGUUUGUGAGAUGAAAAUACAAACAGGAUCUAAGCUGUGCAAAAGAUGCUGACUUAUUGAGAGUGUAAGAGGGAGUAAAAAGUCAGCACAGUUCACACAAAAUAUAGGGAGUGCCAGUGUGCCCAGAGAAACAGAGGCAUGGAAAAAAUGAUUAAUAUCAUAUCUUAGAGGCAGAUUGUGUUAAGAAAAUACAGCUAUAUUUUCUUAAUACAUACAUAGAAAUGGUAAUGGAAAAACCGAGACAGAGAAGUGGGUUCCUUGACUAGGAUGCCACCACAGAUAAUUUCAGAAUCAAAACCACUUCUACAAAGUGAAGCUUAAGGAAACAGAGGUCUUAUUUUAAUCUGCAGAUAUUUGAGUUUAGGAAAAUUGUUCAAAAUUAUACCUGGAAUGCAAGAGUUAAAUCUAAUGCGGGGAACGUCUGCUCUCAUUAAAAUUUGUCAUCACUCAGAAUAACACUAGUUUGAGUAGUUGGCUGCUUUCUGUUGCUUUGUUUGGCUGCAAAGCAGGAUUGGAGCAGUGAAGUAGAUAUUGUAACACACAGGCAAAAUUCCAUUUACUUUUUCAUCUCAAACAAGUGGCUUUUUAGCUGCUGUGAUAAGUCAAAAAUCUAGGUAUUUUCCUCAGUUUUAACAGGAACUAGAACACAAAGAUCCUUUAUGCCAAAUAUUCAAAACGGUCGUACAUUGUCUUAAUUCUUGUGAUUUAAUGUGGCUAUUUUGCUUAUUUUGCUGUCCUCAGAAUAACUGGUUGUCCUUCCUUCUGGACAAGAGGCCAAAGGAGUUCUGUGCUUAAGUUCUAAGACAUAAAAUUACCAAAGGAGGGGUGACUAAUGUAGAAAUGAUAGGAAGUAGGUAAACUCCUUGUAUACAAUGGAGCUGCUGCUAACGCACAGCCAGAGACCAGAUUAAGAAUCAAAGUUUUGAAGGCAAGUGUGAGGGAAGAUAUGUCCUUAUAGGAGGAUGAUUUAUUUUUGCUAUUAUGUUUUGUUUCUUUUCUAGGCCUAUGCAGAAAACUAUUUUGUGACCUUUCUGUAUGGCAUCACAGGAAAAAGUAAGGUAGUUAAGGAGAAACUGAAAUGGAAGUUAAAGUUCUCAUUCUAAAUUAACUUGGGGUUCGAUUUGCUCAGUUAUUUUUACUCUUUUUUUUUUUUUUUUU